rnacentral:rRNA from 1 species
GAUGAACGCUGACAGAAUGCUUAACACAUGCAAGUCAACUUGAAUUUGGGUUUUUAACUUAGGUUUGGGUGGCGGACGGGUGAGUAACGCGUAAAGAACUUGCCUCACAGCUAGGGACAACAUUUGGAAACGAAUGCUAAUACCUAAUAUUAUGAUAAUAGGGCAUCCUAUAAUUAUGAAAGCUAUAAGCGCUGUGAGAGAGCUUUGCGUCCCAUUAGCUAGUUGGAGAGGUAACGGCUCACCAAGGCGAUGAUGGGUAGCCGGCCUGAGAGGGUGAUCGGCCACAAGGGGACUGAGACACGGCCCUUACUCCUACGGGAGGCAGCAGUGGGGAAUAUUGGACAAUGGACCGAGAGUCUGAUCCAGCAAUUCUGUGUGCACGAUGAAGUUUUUCGGAAUGUAAAGUGCUUUCAGUUGGGAAGAAACAAAUGACGGUACCAACAGAAAAAGUGACGGCUAAAUACGUG